CAAAAAGACACGACAACUGGGGAGAUUAACUUAUAGAAAAUGGCGGCUGCAAGGUCAGAGUAAAGGAGGCAAAAGAUAGAGUUCUUUGUGGAAUUAAACAUAGUAGCUGGGUGGAGAAUUAUAUAUAUACACAGGAAGCCAAUUCAUGAGCAAUUGAAUUCUUUUUGGAGUAAAACAAGGUAGCUGGCUGUUAUAUAUGUUUUACGCACAGAAAGUGGAAGCCUACUUUGGGAAUUGGUUUUAAAUAGAUUAAAAAAAAAAGGGCAAACCUGCUGGGAAAGAAGGCAAGGAAAACGAGACUGAUUUUGAAGAAUAAAAAGGGGAAAAACUCACAGAAAACGGCUGUAUUUGGAGUCAAAAUGGCUGCCAUGGGAAUUGAUCAUACAUUACAUAAGGCGGCCGAUUUUUUAUAUAUAUACAGAGCAAACACACGCUGGAAUUGAAGCAGAAAACGUAGAAAAGCGGGCUAAGUUUUUGUGCAAUUAUUCUUCAACAAUUGUGCAAAUAAUUUGGAAAUUAAUCACGUCUCAUCAAUUUCUCAGUGAUGUCCUCCCACUUUUGUUUGUUUAAUUCCAAUCUUAUACUAGGCUAAAUAUUUUCAUGUAUUGGAUGGAU
rnacentral:lncRNA from 1 species